rnacentral:rRNA from 2 species
GAUUGGUGCUUGCAUCAUGAUUUACAUUUGAGUGAGUGGCGAACUGGUGAGUAACACGUGGGAAACCUGCCCAGAAGCGGGGGAUAACACCUGGAAACAGAUGCUAAUACCGCAUAACAACUUGGACCGCAUGGUCCGAGUUUGAAAGAUGGCUUCGGCUAUCACUUUUGGAUGGUCCCGCGGCGUAUUAGCUAGAUGGUGGGGUAACGGCUCACCAUGGCAAUGAUACGUAGCCGACCUGAGAGGGUAAUCGGCCACAUUGGGACUGAGACACGGCCCAAACUCCUACGGGAGGCAGCAGUAGGGAAUCUUCCACAAUGGACGAAAGUCUGAUGGAGCAACGCCGCGUGAGUGAAGAAGGGUUUCGGCUCGUAAAACUCUGUUGUUAAAGAAGAACAUAUCUGAGAGUAACUGUUCAGGUAUUGACGGUAUUUAACCAGAAAGCCACGGCUAACUACGUGCCAGCAGCCGCGGUAAUACGUAGGUGGCAAGCGUUGUCCGGAUUUAUUGGGCGUAAAGCGAGCGCAGGCGGUUUUUUAAGUCUGAUGUGAAAGCCUUCGGCUCAACCGAAGAAGUGCAUCGGAAACUGGGAAACUUGAGUGCAGAAGAGGACAGUGGAACUCCAUGUGUAGCGGUGAAAUGCGUAGAUAUAUGGAAGAACACCAGUGGCGAAGGCGGCUGUCUGGUCUGUAACUGACGCUGAGGCUCGAAAGUAUGGGUAGCAAACAGGAUUAGAUACCCUGGUAGUCCAUACCGUAAACGAUGAAUGCUAAGUGUU